rnacentral:tRNA from 1 species
GGUUAAAUGGCUGAAAUAUAGGCAAUAGAUUGUAAAUCUAUUUAUAAGAAUGAAUUCUUUUUAACCA